GUGGUGGGCGGCCAGUAUGACGUGGAACUCAUGUGAUGUGGGGCCCACGAGGGGUUCAGCCGAGGACCUAACCUAUGGGAUGUGGGGCUUAGGCUAUGAGAUAAAAGGAUUGAUGGGAAUUCAUCGCACAUAUGUACAUUAACACGUCACACAUGUAAAAGUGUGUGAAGAUUGAUGAUGGCCCUCAUGGGGUGCUUGAACAGGAAUGGUCGCCCACAUGUACAUUGAUGCACGUGUGGAACACAUGAUACUAUUUUAGUGGACAGUCAAAUUCUAAAGACCGAGGCCCUAUUUUCCUCUGGUAUAGGCUGUUUACCCAGACCAGCUUGUGUAGAACACAACUUUGCUUUCACCCAAAUGGUUCCCAAAUGACAUGGGAUGGAUUCUUAA